rfam:Picea glauca, whole genome shotgun sequence.
AUAUGCCUACAGCAUAGCAUUAAUGCACUGGAUCCCAUUAGAACUCCACAGUUAAGCAUGCUCAAUCUAGAGUAAUAUUGGGAUGUGUGACCGAUUGGGAAGUCCUAGUGUUUUACAUGCC